UAUGUUCUGCUUCAUGAAAGCAGCUAAGAGGGAAUCAGGUAGAAGGCCUGAGCGGUCCCGCCACUGUAGAUGAUAAGUUUUGCUCGCGGCUUUAGGCCGGCCACUGGGAAACCGGGAAGGAGAGCUAAAACGUUUGAGUCAUAAGCCAGGAGACCUGCAUAUAAC
rnacentral:ncRNA from 1 species